GAUUCGUUCGUUUAAUGGAUAGGACACAGUCCUGCGAAGACUGUAAUCCCGGUUCGACUCCGGGACGAGUCA
rnacentral:tRNA from 1 species